AACGAACGCUGGCGGCAUGCCUAACACAUGCAAGUCGAACGAGACCUUCGGGUCUAGUGGCGCACGGGUGCGUACCGCGUGGGAACCUGCCCUUAGGUUCGGAAUAACUCCCCGAAAGGGGUGCUAAUACCGGAUAAUGUCUUCGGACCAAAGAUUUAUCGCCUUUGGAUGGGCCCGCGUUGGAUUAGCUAGUUGGUAGGGUAAAAGCCUACCAAGGCGACGAUCCAUAGCUGGUCUGAGAGGAUGAUCAGCCACACUGGGACUGAGACACGGCCCAGACUCCGACGGGAGGCAGCAGUGGGGAAUAUUGGACGAUGGGCGAAAGCCUGAUCCAGCAAUGCCGCGUGAGUGAUGAAGGCCUUAGGGUUGUAAAGCUCUUUUACCCGGGAUGUUAAUGACAGUACCGGGAGAAUAAGCGCCGGCUAACUCCGUG
rnacentral:rRNA from 1 species